rnacentral:rRNA from 4 species
CAUUCACGGAGAGUUUGAUCCUGGCUCAGGACGAACGCUGGCGGCGUGCUUAACACAUGCAAGUCGAACGAU